GGUUUUUGUUUAGUACGUAGGCAUAAUUCCCCAACUGAGGGUUAUGAAUCGUGCAUGAUAUCUACGGACGGUAUGGUAUCUUUAGAAGGUUUUAAUUCC
rfam:Drosophila sechellia strain Rob3c scaffold_88 genomic scaffold, whole genome shotgun sequence.